rnacentral:rRNA from 1 species
UUGAUCCUGGCUCAGGAUGAACGCUGGCGGUAUGCUUAACACAUGCAAGUCGAACGGUCUCUUCGGAGAUAGUGGCGGACGGGUGAGUAACGCGUGAGAAUCUAGCUUCAGGUUCGGGACAACCACUGGAAACGGUGGCUAAUACCGAAUGUGCCGAGAGGUGAAAGGCUUGCUGCCUGAAGAUGAGCUCGCGUCUGAUUAGCUAGUUGGUGGGGUAAAAGCCUACCAAGGCGACGAUCAGUAGCUGGUCUGAGAGGAUGAUCAGCCACACUGGGACUGAGACACGGCCCAGACUCCUACGGGAGGCAGCAGUGGGGAAUUUUCCGCAAUGGGCGAAAGCCUGACGGAGCAAUACCGCGUGAGGGAGGAAGGCUCUUGGGUCGUAAACCUCUUUUCUCAGGGAAGAAAAAAAUGACGGUACCUGAGGAAUAAGCAUCGGCUAACUCCGUGCCAGCAGCCGCGGUAAUACGGAGGAUGCAAGCGUUAUCCGGAAUGAUUGGGCGUAAAGCGUCCGCAGGUGGCGAUGUAAGUCUGCUGUUAAAGAGUGAGGCUCAACCUCAUAAAAGCAGUGGAAACUACAUGGCUAGAGUGCGUUCGGGGUAGAGGGAAUUCCUGGUGUAGCGGUGAAAUGCGUAGAGAUCAGGAAGAACACCGGUGGCGAAAGCGCUCUGCUAGGCCGCAACUGACACUGAGGGACGAAAGCUAGGGGAGCGAAUGGGAUUAGAUACCCCAGUAGUCCUAGCCGUAAACGAUGGAUACUAGGUGUGGCUUGUAUCGACCCGAGCCGUGCCGUAGCUAACGCGUUAAGUAUCCCGCCUGGGGAGUACGCACGCAAGUGUGAAACUCAAAGGAAUUGACGGGGGCCCGCACAAGCGGUGGAGUAUGUGGUUUAAUUCGAUGCAACGCGAAGAACCUUACCAAGACUUGACAUGUCGCGAAUCCCGGUGAAAGCUGGGAGUGCCUUCGGGAGCGCGAACACAGGUGGUGCAUGGCUGUCGUCAGCUCGUGUCGUGAGAUGUUGGGUUAAGUCCCGCAACGAGCGCAACCCUCGUUUUUAGUUGCCAGCAUUAAGUUGGGCACUCUAGAGAGACUGCCGGUGACAAACCGGAGGAAGGUGGGGAUGACGUCAAGUCAGCAUGCCCCUUACGUCUUGGGCUACACACGUACUACAAUGCUACGGACAAAGGGCAGCUACACAGCGAUGUGAUGCAAAUCCAAGAAACCGUAGCUCAGUUCAGAUCGCAGGCUGCAACUCGCCUGCGUGAAGGAGGAAUCGCUAGUAAUUGCAGGUCAGCAUACUGCAGUGAAUUCGUUCCCGGGCCUUGUACACACCGCCCGUCACACCAUGGAAGCUGGUCGCGCCCGAAGUCAUUACCCCAACCUUUCGAGGAGGGGGAUGCCUAAGGCAGGACUGGUGACUGGGGUGAAGUCGUAACAAGGUAGCCGUACCGGAAGGUGUGGCUGGAUCACCUCCUUU